UCUCGAUAGCGUAAAAGUUAACACAAAUUUAUAUGGAUUUGAAACGUUUGCCUGCGUUUGGUGCUAAGGGCGCUGUUCCAACUGCAUAAAAAUUUGAGCUAACUUUUACGCUAUCCA
rnacentral:pre_miRNA from 9 species